CCUGAAAAAAAGGGUAGAGAAUGGACCAAGGGAGUCUCUUUCUAUAAACAACAGCAGCAGUCUGCAACUCACCACUGCUUCUAUCAGAGCCUCUCUUGAACUUCAUGAAAUCCACAAUAGAAUUGUUUUCUAAGAACUGUUCUGCUGACCCAUCUUGAUUAUUGGAAGAAAAAGCAAACACUUUUGAAGAUCGUUGAAAAGAAAAGCAAAGAAAAGGUGAAAUUUUGACUGGCUUUGAGUUGUUUUUAAACAUUAGUAUAGGCCUCAGAGAAGUGGAUGUAGAAGAUAAAUGAGAGGUUCAAAUUGAAGGAAUUGAAGAGGUGGGCAGUGAGAGUAUAAUCGAUAGGGAACUUGAGACCAUAAUUGCUUCUCUCCACACCCCACGAUGGAGAGAGAGGGAGAGAGAGAGAGAGAGAGAGAGAGAGUAGGAAAGAUGAAGAAGGGAAUCAUAAUAGAAUUACUAAUGCCAAAGGUUUUACAAUUACAGAAUGCAAAGAAAUUUGUAAGCAUAAGUUGAAAAAGAUUAACAACAAGAAGGCACAGGCAUAAUGAAUGGCCAUAUGAAUGAAUUAAUAAGAGAUUGAGGGAAUACCUAUCAUGAGGACAUUUCCCUCUUUUCAUAAACUAAAACAACAACAAACAGGACAUUCUUUCCUGAUCAUGGACAGGAUAUGCAAAAUCUUUGACAAACUUAGACCCCAAGACAGUUGGAGGAACGUGGAUAUAAACAUUAGAAAACAAUGGAAUCCUACCAGACUACCAAAAAUAUAUUACUUGAACAUUCUUUCCUUAUCAUGACUAUAACAGUUGACAGCCAGCUUCCAAAUCCUCUAAGGUGAUGGUCUGCAGUUCAUCGGUAUCGAUACAGUUGAAAUCAAGCCUGAGAUCCAAAGUCUCUCUAGCAUUAGUUAACAUGACAUUUACUAAACCUCCAUUCAUUUCCCUACGCUGCUUUUCUGUUGUUUCCCUCUUGAUCAGGGCGGCAAUGGCAUCUCCACUGCAUGAAGAAUGUAAUUUAAAACCAUACAGCGAACUCCCUUCAUCCUGAUUAUUCAUCUUGAUGUGGCAAAUAUUUGCUAAAUCUUCAGAAGAGAAGUCAUUAAAAUGGAAAAACUUGGUAACCCUUCUACAGAAACCCUCAUUUGAAGAUAUCACACGCUUCAUAGGUUCACUAUAGCCAGCAAAUAUGACUACGACUUUUCCACUGUCCAUAACAGACAUAAUUUCUUCUAAGGCUUCAAUCCCGUAGUCCUUCUCAUCCUGUUUCUGCGAUGGUAUAAGCCGAUAUGCUUCAUCCACAAAAAGAAUUCCUCCCUCUGCUUCUGCAAUCUGCAACAGGUGUUGAAAAUUAGUUUGGCAAAAGAAAGCAUUACAUUAUCUGCCAAGAAAGCUGACAUUUGAUUUCAGAAACCCCAGCAACAAACCUUUCUUCUAGUCUUGGGUCCAGUGUGACCAACAAAUUCACCAACCAAAUCUGUACGUUGUACUUCUGUUACCUUGUCAGUAGGUAGAACUCCUACCAUAUGCAGUAAUCUUCCAAGUAUUCGAGCUACCAUGGUCUUACCUAUAGAAUAUGAUACUUAUCAUCUCACUUUAUGACUUAAUCAAAGAUAUACAGAAGAAUUUGAGUUCAAUCACAAGAUAAUUUAAAAUCAAUCAGUUGACUAUUCUUGUACUUCUCUACCACUUUUCAGCAAAAAUUGAGAUCCGGACUCCUAAAGAGAAAUAUUAAGGGUUUAAACAAGAGAGCAACAGGCAUACAUGUUGAUAAACUGAAGAAAUGAAUGAUAAUCUUUUUUGUCACCCGAGAACAUCAUGAGCAGCUUAGUCUUUCCUUUUCACAUCUAAUAGGGGAAGCCAACUGGCAACGUAAACUAUAAGGUACAGGUAGCAUUAACUGGGAAAACUUGCAAAUGUUUGAGAAGAACAAUCUCAGAAACAAAAUGGGAUGUAUUGACUUAUCUGGAAAAAGAGAUUUUGGUCUAUAAUUUAAUGAAAACUGUGGUUCAGUAAAUAGUGGAAUACAAAAGGGGGCAUCGAGCCAAUUUUUUGGCAACAAGGCCUUAUUAAAUUUUGCUCAGAACUCCAUUGUCUGUCUCCACAACACAAGAGUGUUAAGAGUUAAUCCAAGCUAAUGACACAAGUUUGACAAUACACAUGAGAUUGCAAUCAUUAAAUCAUUGUUAAAUAGUAAUGGGAUUUGAGAAUUCUGAAACACUUGCAAAAAGGAAGAUCAUAAGUUAUUCACCAGAAGAGAAGGCAAAAUAGCAUAGUAAAACUAAAAUAUUAGAUCAACAUUUUCUUUCUAUGGAUUUCAGGACUGAAGAAUGAUUUAUGGAAUAUGAUGAAAUAGCAUAAUGAUACAGAAACAAUCAAACAUCCCAAUACCUGUUCCAGGGCUACCCAAGAAAGCCAUAUGAGGCGGUCUUCUCAGACCAACUUUCAUACCAAGGGCCCUGCGCCUCUCAUCCAAAAGCAUCCCCUUUGCCCAUUUUCUCAGUUGUAUCUUGAGGUCAUGCAACCCCACAACAUUUGAUAAAGCAUCUUCAAGUUCAUCCAUCUUAGCUUUUGUUUUAGAGCAUGCUUCAAGUGCUUUUCUCUUUCUCUGCUCUUCAAGAUGCCACUGCAAUAGUUUACACAACUCCUCACUUCUUGGACCUGGUGAGAGAUGAUUCAAAGGAGUCAUGCCUUCCUGCAAAUUUAAGGUUACACAAAUUACCAGUGUUUUAUAAUAAAGAAAAUUAAUUUAAAAUGGAAAAAAUUGAGCACUGGCAUCUACAAUACAUUGUCCUCUGCACUGCAAUCAGCAUUAUACUCCAGCAAUGUCUUAACAGUUGAGUGAUCUUCCACUCUGAUUGAGUACCAAACUGCAAGGUGUAACGGUGUCAUUCCAUUCUGCAAGAAUAAGACAAGUAGGAAAAAAGCAGUUCAUAUUAGAAAUUGUCUUCCAAAGUUCCCAGUUUUAAUUUGAAACAAAACAAAAAAUGGGUAACAUGGCGCCAAGAAAGCAGACAUUCGCUUUGGCUUCAAUAAUAGCACCAUGAGCAAGAAGCAACCGUGCAGCUUCGCUGCAACCAUUCUUUGCUGCCAUGUGUAAUGGAGUUUCUCCAUACUGCAAAUUUCAGGAUGAUAACAACCACAACGAAAUCAGAUGUGUUAAUCAAGAGAAGCUUGCAUAAAUGUAUAGAAAGAUCUAAGCAAUUGGUAUAAAAUUUGACCAGGAAACUGACACAUAAGCAUGUACUCUUCGCUUACCAUAUUCCUAGGCUCCAGUUCAACCUUCUCAGCUCCUUGCCAAUCAAGAAGAAAUUUAAUUAUAUCAGCCCUGUUGUAACCAGCAGAAACAUGAAGUGGAGUCUGCGCCAUCUGCAAUUAAGCAAAUCAAGUUAAAAUUUAAAGAAAAUAAAAUACGGCCAGAUAAAAAGAUGCAUGAACUUUUCUUCUUUCUUUAACUCAGUCACAGAUACCAUAGUCAACCAUACAAGUGACAACAAAUUCACCAGUUUCCAUUCAAUUGUGUCCAUAACAGAUCCACCAAUCAAUCACAAGAACAAAACGAGCAAAAAUACACGAACCAACCCAGCAGAUAAAAUGAAGCAAGAUCUUUCAUUUUCACAAUAUACCCGUUAAAGAACACCAUUUUCACAGAACAUAGAAAAACCCACCCGGAAACAAAACAGAAUCAUGAACAUGAUGAGAAUUAAAGAAAGGAAACUAAUGGGAUCUUACAACAGGGUUUCUUUCAUUGAGGAGAUAAGGGUUUCCACUGAGUAACCUUUGGAACCCAAGAAGAUCUCCCGAUUGAGCACAGCUAUGAAUGGUGGCAGGCUUGGAAGUUCUCGACCCUUGACCCUGACGAUUCCGCUGCAUUGUUUCUGUGUUCAUUUUAUGACUUUCUUUUCCUUUCCUUUAUUGGUGGCUUCGCUUCUAUUUCCCACCAAACAAAAAGAGAGCGAAAGAAUUUGGAUUUCUUGGAAUUUCCUCUUGGAGCGUCCUUGGCGGUCAGUCUGUAAUAUAGCAGGUCCGACUUUAGUGCACAAAUCUAACACUUCCGUCCAAUUUUUCUUUUUCAUCGGUAUCACUUUUGGAAAAACUAAAUUAUCUCAUGUGUGGGUCUGUAAAUCACGUGGAGAUAAAUGUACGAAUGCCCAAUUUGUUUUACGGUUGAAAAAUAUUUUAAAAAAUUAGUUUUUUUUCUCAAAAUGAUUUUUUAAUAUUUUUAAAUCUUUUUGAUGAACUAAUACAAAAAAAUAAAAAAUAUAUAUAUUAUUUUAAUACAUUUUCAAAUAAAAAAACAUUUUACGUUAUUAUAAUAUCAAACAAACUUCUAAAUAUCACUAUGAAAAAAUUAAAUGUUGAUGGAUCUAGUACUUAUCCAAAGGCACAUGACACAAGCUCCAACUUGAGUUCAAAUUUUGAUGAGCAAGGUGUAUAUUGUCACGGCGGCGCGAGCCGACGCGACGUCGUCUGGCGAUGGCAGAAGCUCUUGUCGUGCCUCCUGGUGUGAGGUGUGAUGUGUUGGAAAGGUUUUUUAGAUUUAAUCAUAAAGUUAUGGUUAAUUUUUUGGAGUCGCCACCUAGUAUUAUGGUCACUAGAAACCUAUGAUCUGCGAGAGUCUAAGUAAAGGACUGGUUGUGCAAGGGGAAGACGCAUCACCCCCAAUGCACCCUACCUAAGGUAAGCUGCAUUGUUGUUUGAUUGUUUUUUUCUAAGUCGGGUUUCUAUUCGUUAGUUUUUUCUAAGGCUCAAGGCAAAUUUCUCUUCAUGAGAGAGUCUCUACCUUAUCGGGUUAAAACCUAGCAGUUCUAAAGUCUGAAUUUUAGCAUCGCAUUUCUACACCUUAUAUCUUUAAUACUUGAGGGUGUACUUUAUCGUGUAAUUUUACACCCCACAAAUAUUAAAGUCUACAUCUGGAUCAUAAAAAAAAGAUUGGAAAAAGAUUUUUAACAUGUUGGUCAAAUCCUAAUGGAUAAUCAUAAAUUGGUUACGAUAUUCAUUUUUGGAUUUUUUUAUUCAUGAAAAAGAUGCAAUUUUUGUUUUUUAUGAAAAAUAUGCUUGAAAUUUUUUUUAGGAUUUGGCCAUAUGCAACAAAAUAUUUUUUUCUUUUUGAAAAUGUUUUGAAAUUUAUUUUUUUUUGAAAUAUUUCGGAGAAAACCGGGUAUUUUAAUGCCGGAUUUGUAUUUUACAGUGUAAAUAUAUAGCUCGAUAUUAUGCAAAAUUGGUAGAAAAAUAUACGAGAAAAAUCACAAUUUUUUUUUCAAAGUAUUUUUGAAUUUUUUUUUUUAAUAUAAUAAUAACAUAUAAUAUAUUAUUAUAUUAAUGCAUUACAAAGAGUUAUGUUGCAGAAAGUGAACAGUUACUGUUCACUUUCUGCAUGCAACCAAAUGGUUGCAUAAGUUGGAGAUGGGCGGAGGAGAAGGCUACCAAGCGCGGUGGUGGUCUGACCACGAAGGACGUCGUGCGGUGGUGAGACCGGCGAUUGGAACUGGUUGCAGGUGGCAGAGCAGGAAGAAAGAAGGAGAAGAAAAUCUGCAGGAGAGAGAGAGAGAGAGGGACC
rnacentral:lncRNA from 1 species